GACAGAGGGUGCAAACGUUGUUCGGAAUUACUGGGCGUAAAGCGCGUGUAGGCGGCCAUGCAAGUCGGAUGUGAAAGCCCUCGGCUCAACCGGGGAAGUGCACUCGAAACUGCAAGGCUAGAGUCUCGGAGAGGAUCGUGGAAUUCUCGGUGUAGAGGUGAAAUUCGUAGAUAUCGAGAGGAACACCGGUGGCGAAGGCAGCGAUCUGGACGAUGACUGACGCUGAGACGCGAAAGCGUGGGGAGCAAACAGG
rnacentral:rRNA from 1 species